UCUGAAUCAAUUUUAACCCCCUGUGUCAAAUUACAACGAAUGCACUGUACACAAACGUUUUUGCUUUUCGCCCACAUCGAAAUGCGGCCGUUGCUGUUCGCCUCCCGGUCGAAACGCGGGAUUCAAUCCUGUGCUCUCGGGCUUAGCAUCGUAAUGCCAAAUCCACUACGCCACCACGGCGGGUCUAGUCAGUCAUUUAGAAU
rnacentral:lncRNA from 1 species